CAUUCGAUCUUUUACCUUCUGACUUCCUCCCGUGUGUAUGGGCUAUUAUAUAUUACCUAAUAAUACAUAUGUAUCAUCUUCUUCCUCUCAAGGCAGCCGCCUCCUCCAUCCAAGCUUCUUUGAUCUCCCAUAAUAUCUCUUUCUUUAUCUCUAAUCCUUUUAAUUGAGCUCUUGUGCUUGGCCAUCGAAGAAGACCUGAUGUAUCCACCUUCUUCAACCACCACCGGCCACUGUCAUUGGAGGAGAGCCACUGUCGCUGGAGAAUCACCGUUGGAGAGCACCGGAGCUAUCUCCACGCUUUGUCAGUGAUGUGACGGUGAACCGAGAUGAGGUGACACGAACCCGCAUUGGAACCACAACGUUCGCCACCACCAACCACCACGGACACCGAUCUACACCACCUCCUGCCGCGAACCACUGGGGUGACUCCUCUCAUUUCACCGUAAAGCCGCACUCUGGUAGGCUGAACCACCUUCAUCAACCGUGAGACUGACGAGUAGGAAUGAUUGCUGGUGCUUUGGGAGUUUUAUUUCAUUUUUUUUCAGAUUUGCGGUUUUAUGCUUUUACCGAUAUUUUUGAGAUUUAUUUUGUUAUUUGAAUUUAUGGCUAUUUAUUGGAUUUACGACUUUGGAGUUGACUUUUGAGAAGUAAUAAAUGGAAAUUUCAGACUUUUUUA